AAACGUCUCAGUUCGGAUUGUAGUCUGCAACUCGACACAUGAAGCUGGAAUCGCUAGUAAUCGCGGAUCAGAAUGCUGCGGUGAAUACGUUCCCGGGUCUUGUACACACCGCCCGUCACACCAUGGGAGUCGGAAAUGCCCGAAGCCGGUGACCCAACCAAAAGGAGGGAGCCGUCGAAGGCAGGUCUGAUAACUGGGGUGAAGUCGUAACAAGGUAUC
rnacentral:rRNA from 1 species